ACACCCUCCAUCCAAGAGAGCACGUCUGGAUGAAGUACCGUCUGCUGCAGCGGGAAGCGACUAUGAUGCUGAUUCCAGUGCGUCAACAGUUCAUCUAUCACCACCUUCAAGAUCAAGCACUCCACGACAAGAAAAUGACAGCAUUGAUGAAGCAUCCGGUGGUCCAGACAACAGCCUUGACAGCCAGAAAACACAGGCACGACAUUACAGGACUCUACAAGAAAUGUACAAAGCAAAGAAGCCAAACAAAGCUGCUGUAACUCAUCUAUUAGACCUGGAGUUCCAGUCCAGAAGAAAUUUCAUUGACUCAGAAGUUUUGAAGGAGCAAGACAGACCCACAAAAAUUUUACAGGCAUACCCGUGCUUCAAAGAUCUGGACCAUGCAAUGGAUGAACUGCAGAGAAUCAUUGAGCCUAACAAUUGCUGAUACAUUUCUGAGGUGAAAGGCAGGUGGGAGACCUUCUACUCCAAAGUUCAGUUUUAUGGCGUCAUGAAGAAAGUCAUGAAGCCUCCAAGG